rnacentral:rRNA from 1 species
CUGUUUGAUCCUGGCUCAGGACGAACGCUGGCGGCGUGCUUAACACAUGCAAGUCGAACGGAAAGGCCCUGCUUUUGUGGGGUGCUCGAGUGGCGAACGGGUGAGUAACACGUGAGUAACCUGCCCUUGACUUUGGGAUAACUUCAGGAAACUGGGGCUAAUACCGGAUAGGAGCUCCUGCUGCAUGGUGGGGGUUGGAAAGUUUCGGCGGUUGGGGAUGGACUCGCGGCUUAUCAGCUUGUUGGUGGGGUAGUGGCUUACCAAGGCUUUGACGGGUAGCCGGCCUGAGAGGGUGACCGGCCACAUUGGGACUGAGAUACGGCCCAGACUCCUACGGGAGGCAGCAGUGGGAAUAUUGCACAAUGGGCGGAAGCCUGAUGCAGCAACGCCGCGUGCGGGAUGACGGCCUUCGGGUUGUAAACCGCUUUCGCCUGUGACGAAGCGUGAGUGACGGUAAUGGGUAAAGAAGCACCGGCUAACUACGUGCCAGCAGCCGCGGUGAUACGUAGGGUGCGAGCGUUGUCCGGAUUUAUUGGGCGUAAAGGGCUCGUAGGUGGUUGAUCGCGUCGGAAGUGUAAUCUUGGGGCUUAACCCUGAGCGUGCUUUCGAUACGGGUUGACUUGAGGAAGGUAGGGGAGAAUGGAAUUCCUGGUGGAGCGGUGGAAUGCGCAGAUAUCAGGAGGAACACCAGUGGCGAAGGCGGUUCUCUGGGCCUUUCCUGACGCUGAGGAGCGAAAGCGUGGGGAGCGAACAGGCUUAGAUACCCUGGUAGUCCACGCUGUAAACGGUGGGUACUAGGUGUGGGGUCCAUUCCACGGAUUCCGUGCCGUAGCUAACGCUUUAAGUACCCCGCCUGGGGAGUACGGCCGCAAGGCUAAAACUCAAAGGAAUUGACGGGGCCCCGCACAAGCGGCGGAGCAUGCGGAUUAAUUCGAUGCAACGCGUAGAACCUUACCUGGGUUUGACAUGGAUCGGGAGUGCUCAGAGAUGGGUGUGCCUCUUUUGGGGUCGGUUCACAGGUGGUGCAUGGCUGUCGUCAGCUCGUGUCGUGAGAUGUUGGGUUAAGUCCCGCAACGAGCGCAACCCU